GAUGAAGAACGUAGUGAAAUGCGAUAAGUAGUGUGAAUUGCAGAAUUCAGUGAAUCAUCGAAUCUUUGAACGCACAUUGCGCCUCCUGGUAUUCCGGGAGGCAUGCCUGUUCGAGCGUCAUUAAAAUCACUCAAGCUUAGGUUUACCUAUUGCUUGGUCUUGGAGAUGGAAGCCAAUUUAUUGGAAUCCUCUUCGAAAUUCAAUGGCGAAGACCCUUGCUCUCCCAAGUGUAGUAAUAACUUAUGUCACUGAAGGAAGCGAGAAAUCUUCUGCCGUAACCCCCAUAUUUUCUAUGAUUGACCUCGGAUCAGGUAGGGAUACCCGCUGAACUUAAGCAUAUCAAUAAGCGGAGA
rnacentral:misc_RNA from 1 species